GCCGACUGGGUACACAUUUGCGCGAACACGUCAGUUGGAGUGUUGAGCUCCAGAAAGAUAAUGUCAGCUUCAACUCUGCUCCUGCAUUUGGUAUCUUCAGCUGUGCAUUCAUUGUGGCCAAGGAAGAACUUAGGAAAGGAUUUAUUCCUGCUGCAUCUGAUGUAAGGAAGAGCAAUUAUGGUAGCACUCUGCUAGCUGGCUGGAGAGAUCAAGGACAUCCUCAGUAACUCACUGCUGCAAUCAGAGGUUUCCACCUGCUUCAAAAGCGCAUCAGUAAUUCCAGAGGAAGAGCAAGGUGAGCUUCCUCAAUAACUAUCACUCUGUAGCCCUCACAUCUAGGGUGAUGAAGUGCUUUGGGAGGUUGGUGUGUAGAAUCCAAACCCUGGCCUAAGCAAGGAUCUAGGCCCACUACAAUUUGCCUACCACCACAAUAGCUCUACAACGGCUACAUUCUCACUUGCUGUCUAUUCAACACAAUGGCACAGCCUGCACAACAGCAAUACCUACACCACGCUGCUGUUUAUUGAUUACAGCUCAGUGUUCAACACCACCAUCUCCUCAGUACUAAUCAACAAGCUUCAAAACCUGGGCUUUUGCACUGUACUGUUGCUGCAAGGCAACACAUUUCAUGGUACUUAUCAAUUAUAAUAGAACUGAUUUUGAUAUCUCCAUGGCCUUUAGUCACUGUGAUAAUCUCCUGCCUCACUCUUUGGAGGGUUCCAGACCAACUGGAUGUUUGCAGACCUGCUGAAUGGUUCCAGGAUUUUCUGCUUCAUUUCAGAUCUCCAGAAUCGGCAACAUUUCACUUUCAGUGCGGAACUCUUUUUAUUUUACAUUGCUUAUUUUAAAGGUUGGUUAUUUCUAAUGGACAUCAAAAUAACUGCAAAAACUGGGAAUCUGAAAUAAAAGCAGGAAGUGCUGGAAACACCUGGCUGGUUAGGCAACAUUUGCUGGAAGAGUAAGCUAAUAUUUCAGAUCUGUAACCUUUCAUAAGAAGGAUACGAAAUCUUAACUCUGCUUCCCUUUCCAUAGGUUCUCGCUGGCUUGCUUUAGUGCUUCCAAUAUUUUCAGUGGAUAUUUCCAAUGUCCGUUCUAACUCGACAGUCUAGUGCAGUACUGAGGGAGAGCUUCCUGGUCAGAAAUGCCACCCCUCUCACCAAAUGGCAAACCAAAAGGCCCUGUUUGUCUCGGGUAGGUGUGAAGAGUACCGUGGGAAUAUAUUGAAGAAUAGGGACAUUGCCCCUUUGUCCAAGCACACACCUCACCUGGAAUCCCAUAAAAGCAAAUUAUUUGCUCAUUAUCUCAUAGGUCUUGAAAAAGCUUAUGUUGCAUAACUUUGUUAGAGUACUUUGUACAUUAUAACAGUUAUCACAUCUCAAAGGUCUGUAGCUGGCUUUUGCAAUGGGAGUAUCCAGAGCUUGUGGAAGUCAUAAUAUUAAUCCAUAUAAUUUUUCCCUUAGUAACACACACAAAAUGCUGGAGGAACUCAUCUCAGUCCAAAACGUCAACUGUACUUUUUUCAACGGGUGUUCCUUGGCCUGCUGAGUUCCACUAGCAUUUUGUGUGUGUUGCUUGAACUUUCAGCAUCUGCAGAUUUUCUCGUUUGUAAAUUUUUCCUUACAUUAUUCCUUGCACUUGGAAGGUCAUACUGAUGCAUCCUCUGAGAGUCAUCCCAUUCCCUGAUUUUCCUCCUUGCAACAUCCUCUCUCUCAAAUGCCCAUCAUCUUCAGAUGCGACACUUGCAGAGGCCAGUUCAUCUCCCAACCAUUAUUUCUUUGGAAUGUGGGAGGAAGUAGGACAGCCGAGGGACGACCACAUAGUCAGAGAGAGAAUGCAAACUUGGUGCAGACUGGACUGGAGGUCGGCAUUGAACAUAGCCUGUGAGAACUGUAAGGCAGCUGAUCUGUUUGCUGUACCAACCUCCUGCCUUGUCGUUUAAUAUUCCUCAUGGGAACGCAGGUGCUACAGACAUCGGCUCUACAACACCUGGCUAACCUGAAACCUCUCAUGUUACUUCAUAGUAAACUAUAAACCUACUGAUUUUCAAGUAAUAAGUAUUUAUUGUUACAAAUGGCUUAAGACACAGAUUAGAACAUGUUAGAACUACUUUCUGAUACACAGUGUUGUACAGCUAAUGAAAAAUUUGAUGUACGUUUUUAUUCUCCUCAUAAACAGUGAUCUUGUAUGGGGUGGCAAAAAUCACAAUUACCUUCUCUUUAAUUUCCGUCCUGGUUGUGAUUCAAUUGGUAACAGGUUGUUGUGUUCGUAUUUGAUCCACAAACAUCAUAAACUUACUGACCUAGAUUCAAGUUUUGUCAGAUAAUGCCACUGUGGGACAACAGAUCAAUCUUCCACCCAGAAAGUAGAUCUCCGCUGUUUCAUCAGAAGGAUCUGCCACUCGGAGCUUUGGUGCAUUUAGGGAUCAUCUUGACGUGACCAAAACCAAACAGAAUUUCUGUCAUUUUAACCUUUUAGUGGGAUUGAUUGGUCAUUGUUUUGUGCUUCUGUGCAUUUUCAUUUAGUUUAUAAGAUGGACAGGACUUUAUUUAUUACACACUCAUGAUUGCUGAUGGUAAACUGUUUCCUGAAUUUGAAGUCAUCCGUCAGAUGAAGGUUUAUCCGCAGAGCUGCUUAGUUGUAAGUUCCAGGAUUUGCACCUUCUCCCCGCCCCCCCCCGUAAUAAAAACACACUUUCCAUGCCAGCAAGGAGAAUGAUUGAUUUGCAAGGAAAUUUACUAGUUGUGGUGCUUCCAUAUUUCUUCUAUGUGGUAGGGUUAGGCGGUUGACGUGUAUACAUGGAGGUUUGUCAAGGUGUCUAUCUCAUGUAAAUCUUGUUCAAGCUACGUAUAGGAUUACUCUGUUACUUUCCUGAUGUGUGUCUUGGAGAUGGAGGGUCAGGAGGAAUUGCUGCAACAGGAUAACUAUCUAUAAUGUGGAGAUCUAGCAAUAGAAAUUACCACCAAUAUGAAAUUGAUAUUAUGCAAGCUUUAUCAACGUACCAGGGCUUGGUCAGGUCCUAACUUGAUUGAGUACUGUUGGAUACAUAUGUCAAGGAUUCAUGCCCAACAGCACAUCUUAUUUUUAAUUUAAUUUACUCAUUUAAUCUUCAGUUUAUGUUGAAUUUUAAAGGGAAAAUUGCACAGGAAUUGUUUGUAUCCUGAGAAUUCCAAGGCAUCCUUUGAAGACUUUGCUGGGUCUUUGUCAUUGUACCAUUAAUUUCUCUCCAUAAUUUCUUAUGAUAUUCCAGUGUCUCCUCCCACAUGAAAAAUGGUGUUAGAAUAGUCUAGGAAAGUAAUUAUAGAACAUUUUGUAUGUGAUGCACGUUGCAGUUGGAGUGGCCAAGGACACAUGCUCUUGUAACCUCUGUACUGGUAUGGCUGUUCCAGCCAAGUCUCUGACCAACGGUGUUCUCAGGAUAUAUGAUGGAUGCAGCAGGAUUGAUGCCACCAAAGGUUAGCGGUAGAUGGUUAGAAACUCUCAUAGGUAACAAUGAAGAAACUGAAGAUGGUUUGGAUGGUUUGUACUGACCAAUAUAAAUUAAUUUCAUUCAUUCAUUCAUUCAUCUGGUAAGUAGCAAGACAUCAACAAAGAAAAGAAAAAUCCCUGGUUUGAUCAUUGUGGUUUGAGGUAUUUCUGCUGAUGGAGAGAUUCCGCAUACACCUAGCAUAUAAAAUCUGAAGGAACAUCUUGAUUUUGGCUGACAGAUUUGCAAACAUCACUAAAUAAUCAAAUGACACCAUUUAGUAGCUCAAGCAGAUGCAUCAGUUCAAUGUGAGCGUUAACAGUUCAGAGGAAAGAGAUUUCCUGAUUUGAGCCUUUUCUAUUUAAAGUUACUAAAAUUAUUUGGAAAUAACAAAUUACAUUUGCAAUCUUGUGUCUUCACCAUAGCUUUCAGCACAUGUGUUGGUGUGUGCAUGUGCAGGGGCUCCUGUCUUCUAUCAGUGAAGCACCAUUCUUUCACUUGGCUUGCAAUUUACCACAUUACUUGCAUGCUUCACGUCUCGUAUAUUUCUUUCUGUUUGUGCCUUUUUGAACCAAUCUUCACCCUGUUUUAUAUUAAAGGUAUUUCUACUCUAUUAACAAAUUAAAUAAUUUUUAACAUCACAGUUCCUCCAUACUUUCAGGAGCACCUCUUUGCACUUCAGAGAAGCCUUGUUUAAUUUAUCAUUCUUAUUGAUUAUUUAUUGAAAUUUUAUUCAUCUGGGAGUGCUGAUUAGACACAGGCAUCAGAACAUAUGGGUGAAUCUCUCUAUCAUCAUUCAAAAGGAACAUUGCAGAAGGAAUUAUGCAAUUAGGUAUUCAUCUGAGAUGCAAACACUUCAUUUGUGUAGAUGUAAUUACUGAUAAGUAAAGCACACAUGAAUUUAAGGAACUGUACGACAAGAUGGAAAUGAUUAUGAUCAUGUUCUACUCCAGAAUAAAUUGAUUUUCUUCUAUGCACUGUUAAAGAAGAAACAGAACCUAGAUUUCCAGGGCCAAGGCAGAAUUCUGAACAAGUCACUGGUCUCUGUCUCACAGGCCAAUGUCGCAACGUCCUUCAACAGGGUGACUCCCUGCAAGGCAUAAGGCCAGAUGGUGUACGUGACAAGGUACCGAAAUACUGUGCUAGCAAACUGGCUGUAGUGUUCAGGGACGUGUUUAACUUUCCACUUGCUUCAAAAGGGCACCAAUUGCACCAGUGUCCCAGAAUAGCAAGGUGAGCAACCUCAAAGACAUGUCACCCAGUUGCACUCACAUUUAGUGUGUUGGGAGGCUAGUCAUGGCUAGAACUAACUCCUGUCUAGACCUGCUGCAAUUUCCCUACCUCCACAACAUGUCUACAGUGGAUUCAAUCUCACUGGCUCACCACACACAGCUUUGUAGCACCUGUACUACAGCAGUAACUACAUCACACCGCUGUUUAUUGAUGCAGCGUGACAUUCAGCACCAUCAUCCCCUCAGGACUAAUCAAUAUGAUUCAAAACCUAGGCCUCUGUAUCUGCAAAUACAUCCUCAGGAGACCACAGACAACAUGGAUCAGAAAUAACAUCUCCUUGUUGAUAUCUAAUGCAGCUACACCUCAAGAAUGCAUUCCUAGCCCACUGCUCUACUCUCUUUACACUCAUGAUUGUGUGGCUUGGCACAGCUCAAGUGCCAUCAGUGAAUUUGCAGAUAACACCACUGUUAUUAGCAGAAUCUCAGAUGACAAUGAGGCGAUGCACAGGAGUGUGAAAGAGAAGGUGGUUGAGUGGUGUCACAACAACAACCUCACAUUCAAUGUCAGGUAGACCAAGGAAACAAUAAUGGACUUCAGGAAAGGGAAGUUGGGAGAACACGUAACAGUCCUUGUGGGUUCAGUGGUGGAAAGAUUGAGCAGUUUCCAGUUCCUGGAGAUCAACAUCUGAGAUGAUCUAUCCUAGGCCCAACACAUUGAUGCAGUCAUGAAGAAGGCACACCAGUGACUAUACUUAAUUAAGAUUUUGAGGAGAUUUGGUGUGUCACCAAGAUACCUGUAAAUUUCAGUAGAUGUACGGUGCUGCUGGUGAAUCUCAGUGACUUCUGGCUUGUGGCUAAUGAAACAAGGAAAGCAACUAAGUACUUUGUUAAUCGUUCAUUUUCAAGUAAACGAUCAUUGCAAGCAAUAGUCUGUAGCCUCUCUUUGGACUUGGAGGCAAUUUGAUGUGACAGAACCGAGGUGAGGCAGCAGGCCUGUUGCGAGAGCAAAAAAAUCUGAGGUUUGAACGAUUUAAGUGCCAGGCCUAAUCAGAAGGGUCGGAUGCAGGCCAAAUUGAGGUAAAGGGGUCCAGUCCUAAGAGCCGUUCAAACCAAAUAAACCCAAUGUUGGACGAUGAUUUAAGUCCCAUGCCGAAUUGGAAAGGUCGGGUACAGGCCAAAUCGAGGUGGCAGGGUUCCGGCCACGGAGUGUACUGCAGCCAUUGAACCCAAUGCUUGGACGCCGGGUUAGGGUGUCGGAGCCCAAGGUGAGAGAUGACUGGUUCAGCUUGCUGCUUGGCUCUGUGCUGAAUGAAAAGUUCAGAAUGUUAUCAGCUUGUGUUUAUUUUUUGCAUGAUUUGUUUUUUUCUCUCUCUGCACAUUGGGUGUUUGACAGUCUUUUAAAAAUAAAUUAAUUUGGGUUCCUUUGUUUCAUGGCUGCUGGUCAGGAGACAUUUCAAGAUUGUAUAAUGUAUGCAUACUUCGAUAUAAGUGCACUUUGAACUCUGAGCUUUGAGAGCAUUCUGGCUGGUUGCAUCACUGCCUGGUAUGGAAGUUCCAUGAUACCGCAUCGAAAGAGACUCCAGGGGAUCGAUCACUCAGCCAGCUCCAUCAUGGACAUCUUCAGAAGGCGACGCCUCUCAUAAAGGCCCUUUUCUUAUUACUACCAUUGGGAAGGAGGUACAGGAGCCUGAAGACCCACACUCGAUAUUUGAAGAGCAUCUUCUUUCCUCCUCCAUCAGAUUUAUGAAGUCCAUGAACAGUGCAUUGUUAUUUCCUCUAAUGCAUUAUUUAUUUUUUUAUGUAAUUUACAGUGAUUCAUAAUCAUUUUAAUGUCAUGACUGUACUGCUGCAAAACAACAAACUUCAUAAUGUAUGUUAGUGAUAAUAAACCUGAUGCUGAUUCUGAA